rnacentral:lncRNA from 1 species
CCUGUUUGCGUCCUGAAAUGGAAUUAUCAAAUUGCUGAAAGAAUGGAUCCUAAUCGAAGAAAGGACACUGUUGUAUGAGCCACAUAUGAGCAAAGUAGACACAAGGAAGUAGAGCACCAGAUCUUCCUACUUCCUCAGGUGGACAUGUACACUCUUCCGGAUUGUGAGUUCGCCUCGGCACUGGGUCUAAAAUGAUGACCACUUGACAAAUAGAUCAGUCUGUCAGGAGACAAAAUUGAUCCCAAUCUUUACCUCAUCUCACCUCCACCAUGACUAAAAUUAGGUACUCCAUUUAAUCUUUUUUCAGAUCAGUUAUCUUUUGUUAUUUGUAUCUAAUAUGAGAACAUCUACUGUACUACCUUGACAUAAAUGUUCUUUAAGUAGCCUUUUCCCUCUGUGGAAAUUUUCAUUACAAUUUAAAAUU